GUGCUUGCUUUAGCAGCACAUAUCCUAAAGCCGAAAUGAUGCUGAGAAGAUUAGUGUGGCCUCUUUGCAAGGAUGCCAUGCAACUUCAUGAAGCAUUCCAUAUUUUU